CAUCUAUAUAAAGGAAUAACAUUAGUCUACAAUUUUUGUAAAAGAAAACUUUGAAAUUGAUCUACCGGCAAAACAAUGGUUCGAAAUGUGUCUUCUCUGCUAACAUAAACCGAAACUUUAGAUAUCAAAUGUUACUUUAUUAUGGGCUGCUAAUGGGCUAAUGAUAGGCCAACCAUGUUAUUUCAAAUUAUAAUGUCCUCCUCCGCAGAUCUUCUAAAAUACGUAAAGCUUUGCAGAUGGACGGCUGAAAAUAAUGGCGUUUUAUAAGACUCGUUAAUUGUUUACACGGUUUCACAACAAAAUCUGAUAGAUAUCAAACCACUAACGCCAGUGUUUCAAAAAAAAAAAUCAAACCACUAACGCCAAUAACUAUUUAUUUAAAAAUAAUGAAUACUAGUAUUGUUCCUGUGCUGCGCACAUGUAUAUUUUUGCUAACAAAUAAGACUAAAAGUCUCAUUUAUAUACAACUAUAACUACAUUUAUAAAAUUUUGAUGAAUAUACAUAAACAAAUCAUUAAACUUAUCAGUUCUAUGAUUAACCACAACAUAUAAAAUGAAGUUAGAUUGGUUUUAAAAAAUUACCUUGAUCUUAAUUAAUUCACUAAAUACAAAUAUUAGUUUUAUACUUUUGUCUUACUUCUUUAUGUCUUGUUCUUCAUGUAUUUUUCCUAAUUCUAAACUUGCAAUCUAUGGCUAAUUUCUCUUAUUACAUUCAUAGUCACUAUACCUUCUGUAGUAUUUCAAUGGUGUUUUCAAUUUACAUUUUGUUGUUAAAACUAUUUUAUAGUAGGAAAACAAUUAGAACAGAAGCAUUUUUACCUUUAAUCAGAAUUUGUUCCUCAUAUCCUACCAUGUCGCGUGUUCUAUCAUUAUCUUUUCUCCUUUUUAGCUGGAUCUUAUUUUGAAUCUUUUUAUUGUGGUUGAAUUACUCUCCAUUAAUUCAGAGCCAUCAUAUGCACUAUUUCUUGAUAGAAUCACUCGAGAAUACAGUCUAAUGGAACUCGACACUAACUCUUAACAUUAUAUACAGUCCCAAGUUUGUAUUAUGGUAUUGAAAAUUAGAAAAGGAGUGUAGUUUUUUCCUAAUCUAUUUUCUAUUGAUAGAUUUUGUUUUCAUUUGUUUUACUGAUUUUUAGAAAUAUAUAGGAACAUGGAAAAAAGCUUGUGGAGGAAGAGGGAAGAUUGGAGGUACUGGGAUACGUGCGAUAGAGUUUUUUUUGUUGCAUUAUUCCUUUUUAAUUAAUUUUGUAAAUGUGGAUUACGUGACAGAAUUUGAUUGGUGAAGCGACUUGCGCUUUAGUAUAUAAAGGAUUUAGAGCAUUUCUUUAGAAAAAUUAUUAAAUUUUUAUCUUCCUUACUUUUGCAUGCUACACAUACUUGCAUUACAGCUUUUCACUACCAGAUCAACUAAAGUAUUGUUAUGGGGCCAAAACUAAAACUAACGAAAAUGUUGGGCAUAAAACGGAAGAUCUCUGGAGCAUGGUACCAAAGAGAAGUGAUAGAAGAGGGAACGGAGUGAUUGAUAUGGGCAAGAAAACAAACGAAACAAAAAAUUCAUAGUAUCCUUCUUACUUGUAAUAAUUGUAGGGGACCCUUUUUGAGAAGUUAAGAGCCUUGUCGUAGUUUUCUAUUCACAAAAAAAAAUGUUUUUAAAGAUAUCCAGGGCCAGCUCAACACUGUUAGAAGUUUUAGGGUAAAAUUUUUUUUUUCACCCUUUAAAAUUUAUAUACAGUUAAUGUUUAAAAUAUUUUUAAAAUUUAAUCAGUAAUAUUUUGUGUAUAUAUUUUGUAAUAAAAAUAAAACUAUAUACAUAUCAAAUAAUUUUGAGCCAUUUUCAAUUUUAUUUAUUAUAUUUAUAAUUUUUUUAUAUAUAAAAAUAUAGAUUUAUAAAAAAAUUGGACCCCUUAAUUAGUAUUGUACGGGGGGACACGGGAUUGGGCCCGGGGCGGUCGCACCGCUUGUCCCCUCCAAUGAGCCGGCCCUGAAGAUAUCAACUGAAAUGUCUUAUACUGAAGACUUGUUAAGAGUGAAUACGUAUAAACAAAUAGUAGUACUACCGUUCACACAUUAAACGAAAUAUUAAUUUAACUUGGGAACCCAGGUCUGUCAAUGGAUUCUUUUUCGCGUCAUCAGUUUGAUUAUAAAACAGUAUAGUAGUAUUAGUUUAGUACGUUGCUAGUUUAUAGCAUUAUUUUGACCAUUUAUGCCUUAGGAGACUGUGAUUUUCCCGCACGCCCACAAAGUUUCUAUUCCCCACAAAUCUUAGACUUUUGAUUACUUCACUUUUAAAUAGCUUUUUUUCUUGAACCAUUUUAUAUAGCAUUUUUUGUGGAACAACCAUUUUAUAUUAGCUAAAAACGAAUUCGAUCACUUUUAAUUAUAUUUUGAUCAAUCUUACUUCGCCUACUUCAUUUUCCAGAGGACGGAAACUCAUUUGAAUAAAGAAUAACAAUAUAUUCAAAACAUAAGGGAUGAAUAAACUUCUUAAGAAGUUAGAAAAAUUAAUUUUAGGAAAUUGCAGGCUUGAAAAAUAGAAACAACACAUGGACAUCAUCGUUUCUGAAGAAUGCUACUAUAAACAUGAUAUAUUUUGAAAUUUGAAGUCUAAAAUUGUGUCCCUAGAUUUGAGGAAUUCCAUUUACCAAGAUUCUCUUAGUUUGCUCAAUCUCAGUCUCUUCACCAAUUAGCGAAUAAUUAUGUUUAGCUAGUAAGCCUAGUCCAGCUAGGUUGAGUUAUGAAGUUAAAAAUGUUACAAUAAAUCCAGUUCAAAAAAAAAAAUGUUACAAUAAAUAACGUGGGAUAUUAUAUGAAACAUGUACAUUUUAACAGAAGGAAACCAAAACAAAGUGUUUUAAAAAAAAAAUAACAGAAGGAAAUCAAUGAAAAGAACUGUUGACAAAGAAAGGAAAGGUGAAAAUGAAACACAGUUUCGAGUUUUUAUUUGACCUGUUGACUUUUAUUUCACUUAUUAGGAGGACCAACGAAACUGCUAACUCAGAGAAGAGGACCACCUUCCGGGCAGAACGGUCACGUGUUCGGGCAGGUAGGUCUAUGAAUAUCGUAACGAUGACGUCAUCAAGUUCACUUAAAUAGUAGCUCUUUCGGCAUUGACGACGCCACGAUCCCUCGCAAAGGUCCAAUUGGGCCCCGGCCCACGAAGGUUAUUAUUUAUUUAUUUCUCUCUUCGCCUUAUAAUCACUCUUCACUUGAUUCCUUCUCCAUCAUAUAUCUCACCGUUUAUCAACACUCUCUCUCUCUCUCUCUCUCUCUCUCUCUUAAAUGGAACAGAGAGAAGAGCUCUCAUGGAUGAAAGAAGCGAAACAGGAGUUUCUCCAAGGCAGUAGCGUGAACAUAAACCUCAUGAUGCAUAGAGAUUAUUGGGUCCGUUGUGCUGAAACAUUAAGUUUCUUUUCGGAACUCCAAUUACAUUGAUAAUCUGGUGUUAUCCCAACUUGAGCUCAUUUUCAGUUUUUUUUUAAAAUUUUAUUAAAACUUCUUUCUCCCACUGAAUGAUUUUUAUUUUCUUGACCUUGUAAGGCCUUUUCUUGACCUUGUAAGACCCCAUCCCUUUCUAAGUGUCUCCUUCUUCUAUCAUUUUACAGAUUUUCUUUUAUCUUUUUUGGUGUAAGAUAUGUAUGUAUAUCUACCCCUAGUUUGUCUGAGUCAUCUUCUCCUACCUUGUCUAUCCCUCCUGAGCUAGUCCUUGCAUCUUUUUGUUAGUCCAUUGAUGUAUGGUUGAUAUAAAUUUCAAAAAAAGAACUUAGUUUUAACAUUUGUUUGUGUUGUUGUAAUAAAAGUUAAAGGAGGUGCAAAAAAGUCUCACUAUCAAGGGGACUGGCAAAAGGCAAUGAAUAAGGAAACGGGCAAAAAGAAUUACGCCUUUACUCCCUAUCUUUAAAGCUUUGGACAGGAAUUUACUUUUGUUUUAUGUGUUGUGUUUGUUUGGGUCUUCCUGACCCCAAAGCCAAACCAAAGAACACUCUUAUUAAUUAUUCCCUCAGAACCA